rnacentral:rRNA from 1 species
AUUGAACGCUGGCGGCAGGCCUAACACAUGCAAGUCGAGCGAGCGGCGGACGGGUGCGUAAUGUCUGGGAAACUGCCUGAUGGAGGGGGAUAACUACUGGAAACGGUAGCUAAUACCGCAUACCAUCAGAUGUGCCCAGAUGGGAUUAGCUAGUAGGUGGGGUAACGGCUCACCUAGGCGACGAUCCCUAGCUGGUCUGAGAGGAUGACCAGCCACACUGGAACUGGGACACGAUCCAGACUCCUACGAGAGGCAGCAGUGGGGAAUAUUGCAAAAUGGCGGCAAGCCUGAUGCAGCCGUGCGGCGUGGGUGAAGAAGGCCUUCGGGUUGUAAAGCACUUUCAGCGGGGAGGCGUUACCCGCAGAAGAAGCACCGGCUAACUCCGUGCCAGCAGCCGCGGUAAUAC